rnacentral:rRNA from 1 species
CCUACGGGUGGCAGCAGUGGGGAAUAUUGGGCAAUGGGCGCGAGCCUGACCCAGCAACGCCGCGUGAGGGAAGACGGCUUUCGGGUUGUAAACUUCUUUUUGCAGGGAAGCGUAGAAGACGGUACCUGUCGAAUAAGCCACGGCUAACUACGUGCCAGCAGCCGCGGUGAUACGGAGGUGGCAAGCGUUGUCCGGAUUUACGGGGGGUAAAGGGCGUGUAGCCGGGUUGACAAGUCAGAUGUGAAAUCCUGCGGCUUAACCGCAGAACUGCAUUUGAAACUGUGGAUCUUGAGUACUGGAGAGGCAGACGGAAUGCGUAGUGUAGCGGUGAAAUGCGUAGAUAUUAGGAGGAACACCAGUGGCGAAGGCGGUCUGCUGGAGAGCAACUGACGGUGAGGCGCGAAAGCGUGGGGAGCAAACAGGAUUAGAUACCCCAGUAGUC